AGUCGUGGCCGGAGCUCGGCGGUUGGCUUUGAUCUUUCGUUACCAGGGCGGGCCGGGGCUAGACACCGGGUCGCUGGGCGGCUCUUGACCACCUCACACCUGGUCAUUGGAGUGCAUUUUACGAUUGGAUCCCUGAGAACCAACUUUCGGUGGUUCGUGAUCCCCGUGCUACUCUAGACGGGCUUCUAGAACCUCUUCUUCAGUGACUCGCACAGACGGUUAGGUACUAUCUGGAAAGUUUUUUUUAGGCUGUGGAGUUAUCCUCAAGGUGCUGCAGAGGCCAGAAGAGGGUGUUGAAUCUCUAAGCGGCAAGUACAGGCAGCUGUGAGCCUCCUGGUGUGAGUGCCGAGAACCAACCUCAGAUCCUCUGCAACAGCAGCAGCAGCGAGUGAUCCCACUCUGCAGCCAACCUUCUGCUCCAGAAGUUUGUGCCAUUUAUUAGAAAAUAACUCAAGUUUCUGAAGAACGUUUUUGUUUGUUCGGUUGGUUGGUUUUUGGUUUAGUUUUUAAUACAGAGUUUCCCCAUGUAGUCCUGGCUAUCCUGGAACUCAUUCUGUAGACCAGGCUGGCCUCAAACUCACAAGUCCACUCGCCUCUGCUUCCCAAGUUCUGAAGCUAAAAGUAUACGGCUCUGAAGAACAUUUAUUAAUGUACUGUUUUAAGAAAUUAGAUCACUUAGCUUGAAGGCGUGUUUUGGUUUGGUUUUUUUAAAGGAGGUUGCAUUAUAUAGCCCAGGUUAGCCUUGAAUUGAGGAUCCUCCAAGUUCUCUCUGCUUCCAAUUACAAAUCCUCUGGGGAUUACAGAUACGCCAUCUGUACUUGCCUAUUUUAUCAAUAAAAACUAGAAAUACUUAGUGUA